rnacentral:rRNA from 1 species
GACGAACGCUGGCAGCGUGCUUAACACAUGCAAGUCGAACGAAGAGCGAUGGAAGCUUGCUUCUAUCAAUCUUAGUGGCGAACGGGUGAGUAACGCGUAAUCAACCUGCCCUUCAGAGGGGGACAACAGUUGGAAACGACUGCUAAUACCGCAUACGAUCCAAUCUCGGCAUCGGGACUGGAUGAAAGGUGGCCUCUAUUUAUAAGCUAUCACUGAAGGAGGGGAUUGCGUCUGAUUAGCUAGUUGGAGGGGUAACGGCCCACCAAGGCGAUGAUCAGUAGCCGGUCUGAGAGGAUGAACGGCCACAUUGGGACUGAGACACGGCCCAGACUCCUACGGGAGGCAGCAGUGGGGAAUCUUCCGCAAUGGACGAAAGUCUGACGGAGCAACGCCGCGUGAGUGAUGACGGCCUUCGGGUUGUAAAGCUCUGUUAAUCGGGACGAAUGGUUCUUGUGCGAAUAGUGCGAGGAUUUGACGGUACCGGAAUAGAAAGCCACGGCUAACUACG